UACGUAGGGUGCGAGCGUUAAUCGGAAUUACUGGGCGUAAAGCGUGCGCAGGCGGUUUUGUAAGCCAGAUGUGAAAUCCCCGGGCUCAACCUGGGAAUGGCAUUUGGGACUGCAAGGCUGGAGUACGGCAGAGGAGACUGGAAUUCCUGGUGUAGCAGUGAAAUGCGUAGAUAUCGGGAGGAACACCAGUGGCGAAGGCGGCCUUCUGGACCAGUACUGACGCUCAUGCACGAAAGCGUGGGGAGCAAACAGG
rnacentral:rRNA from 1 species